GGCUUUAUCUAUAAUUAUUAUACUGGUACUGGUUGUGUAUAUAACAAGAACUAAUAUUAAUCAAAAAAGAAAAUCAGAUAAUGACAUUGUAAUGGAGUGCAGUCCAGCUUAUGCUACAACUGAAUUUGAAACAAAUACUGCUGAUGAUGCACCAGUGAAAGAUGGUCCAACAUACAAUACAGUACAACAAACACAAUCAACUGUUGAGUCAGUGUAUGAUACAACUUGGCCCAAGACUACUACUUCACCUGCUGAAUAUGAAAUACUAACAGUUUCAUGAUUUGGUACACAAUGCAACAUUAAAGUGUUUCCUUGUCAUAAAUUUAAACUUUAAAGUAGCAAAAGAUUUCAGAACAGUUUAGUAGUACUUCAUCAUUGAG